rnacentral:lncRNA from 1 species
UAGAAGAGUAACUUUAGUUAGCAAUGUGAGACUGGUGUCAUUACUUAUUCAGGCAGUUAUGCAUUCAUUCCACAUUUAUGAAGGGCUUCCCAUACACCAGAAAUUACAAAAAUCCAUGAAGCACAUCUCCAGCUCCCCGGAGACUGAUGCUCUUGGGAGAAACGCUGUGUGCCCGUACGUAAUAGGGGGCUGUGCACUGAGUGCCCCAGGAGAAGGAACGUCAAACGUUGGAGCGAGUGCCUCACGCUGCCCUGGGGCACUAGGGAAGGAGCGAGAAGGUCAGGCUCCAGUUGGGUCUGGAAAGAUGGCAGAUAUUCAAGAUUGAAGGAAGAAGGACGUUUCCAGUAGAGUGAACAUGAAAUUGUAGGGAAAGGACCAAGAGCUGGUUGGACACCCUGUGGACCGGAAAGAAUGCUGACUCAGGAGCCAGGGUCACAGAGGAAAUUAGGACUGAAGACUUUGGUUACGGCAUCAAGAAGGAGUCUACAGGAAUCUUCUUCUGCCUUCUCUGUUCUUCCUGCCCCCACUUCUAUAAACAGACUCACACCGAAUUGUCGAGAGCCCUAGUCCUGGGGGGGUCAGCCCCCUGGAGCCAGGCCAUCACUGUCCUAAGGUGGCCGAGGUCUUCCCAACAGGAGGUGCUAACAAGCUUUGAAGAGGAAGCAAACAGGAGAAGCUCAGACAGUGCAGAAACUGUCAGAGUGAAUAUUUUAAAAGCCUCCCACUGGAGCUGUCUCUAGUGUUCACGAAGAGCUGUUAAACUUUUUAAAUGUUGAAAUCAUUAGCCCUUUUAUUGUGUCAUUCUGCCACAUUCACUUCCAUCUCUGUCCACCCACCAGCCACCCCCGUUCCUCCCCACAAGCUGAAUUGCACCAUAUUCUAAUCUUCUGAGAUGGAACUCCC